rnacentral:rRNA from 1 species
CCCUUAGAUGUUCUGGGCCGCACGCGCGCUACACUGAGCCCUUCAUCGAGUUUACAACCUUGGCCGGUAGGUCUGGGUAAUCUUCUCAAAGGGGCUCGUGCUGGGGAUAGAUUAUUGUAAUUUUUAAUCUUCAACGAGGAAUUCCUAGUAAACGCAAGUCAACAGCUUGCAUUGAUUACGUCCCUGCCCUUUGUACACACCGCCCGUCGCUACUACCGAUUGAAUGGCUUAGUGAGCCCGAGGGACUGUUGCACCUAGAGGGUUUUCUCUCCAGGAGCAGCCGGGAACUCGGUCAAACUUGAUCAUUUAGAGGAAGUAAAAGUCGUAACA